UUACCAGGAUUUGCUGCGAAUAAUCCUCGAGAUCUAAACCUAAUUCCCUCAAUCUCUCGCAUCCCUCACUGCCUCUCUUUCUCUCUCCUCUCUGAGCUUAGAUCUAACGCUCAUACUCUUCUCCAUUACAUAUUCGUUCUGAAUCAAAUUUCAUUCCUAGAUUUUCUUCUACUUUGUUUGGUGAUUUUGAUUAUCAAUUUUACUCUACUAGAUUUUCUUGAAUUUACACAAAAAUCUCAAACGAAGGAGAACGAAAAUUACGGAGAAGGAGAACUCGCUGCUCUCUACCACGGCGAGUUUCCGAAUGCCGAUGCUUCCGAUGCCGCUGCUAUCAAGGAUUCUAAAUCUCAGGUUUGUUCCUCUUUCUCUCUCCUAAACCUUAUUCCCUUUUCAGAUCGUCUUUCUGCUAAUUCAUUGUUUUUUUUGAAUAAAAUUGGAAUAAAUUCUUGAAAAGUACCCGGAAGAGGUUAGAUGAACUUGUAGAUGAAGCUGGCCUGCUUCGUUAAAUGCAGGGGAAAUUCGAGCACGAGAUGGGGAUGCCUAAAGGCAUGCCAAUCUACUCCGCACAUUCGUGACACAGAUCGUUGGAUGAACUUGUAGAUGAAGCUGGUGUGCUUCGUUAAAUGCAGGGGAAAUUCGAGCACGAGAUGGGGAUGCCUAAAGAAUGCAGCUUACAACAGUCACGUUGAACCAAGGAAGCGCACUGCCAAGGGUUAAAAUUUUAAGGUUAUGACCGUAAUGCUAACAGAGGGGGCUACAAAAGAAGUCCUGUAUAUGCUCUUUUUGCAGUCUGCCAGUUGGUUAGUUCUUCUAUCCUCGUAUCGAAGGAGCAUCUCUGAAAAGGCUAGCUUCAGUUCCCUGCAGUCAAGUACAAGAGUGUAUGUGCAGAUGCAUUUGGUCCCCUGUCAAUGCCGGCUUCAUGAAUUUCCAACACCCAGAAUAUUUUUUUUAUAGAAAUGAUUGCGAAGAUAGGUUAAGAAUAAAAAUAUGUUUUGUAGUGUAACUGUGUAAGUUGUUGAUAUUAAUUUUGUUGUAGGAUAAUGUAAAUAUGUAUUAUACAGGUUCUAGAUGAUAACAUUAUGGUUGAUAAUAUCAAUUCGUUGUAA